GACCCUAUAACUCAGUCGGUUAGAGUGUGGAGCUAAUACGAGGUGUUACUCCAAAGUCGCCAGUUCGAGCCUGGUUAGGGUCA
rnacentral:tRNA from 1 species